rnacentral:rRNA from 1 species
CCUACGGGUGGCAGCAGUGGGGAAUAUUGGACAAUGGGGGCAACCCUGAUCCAGCCAUGCCGCGUGUGUGAAGAAGGCCCUCGGGUUGUAAAGCACUUUCAGUGAGGAAGAACGCCUGGUGGUUAAUACCCAUCAGGAAAGACAUCACUCACAGAAGAAGCACCGGCUAACUCCGUGCCAGCAGCCGCGGUAAUACGGAGGGUGCGAGCGUUAAUCGGAAUUACUGGGCGUAAAGCGCGCGUAGGUGGCUUGAUAAGCCGGUUGUGAAAGCCCGGGGCUCAACCUGGGAACGGCAUCCGGAACUGUCAAGCUAGAGUGCAGGAGAGGAAGGUAGAAUUCCCGGUGUAGCGGUGAAAUGCGUAGAGAUCGGGAGGAAUACCAGUGGCGAAGGCGGCCUUCUGGACUGACACUGACACUGAGGUGCGAAAGCGUGGGUAGCAAACAGGAUUAGAUACCCCAGUAGUC